UAUCGGUGCUGUCUGAGAUUGUCAUUUUCGGUUGUCAGUUAGAGCGCAAAUUCUAAUUUUUCUCUGAAAUCACAAUAUACUCAAAAUCGAAGGUGUCAUCCAUCAAUGAUUAUGAUUCAUUCAUUGACCCAACUGCAUUGUACUCUCCGCACAAGGAAUAUGCCUCAACAGUGUACCCAACAUCUCAAUGGUCCGCUGACACUAGUGGUACCCGGAAACUGGGCAGUUUACUCUAAAGGGAAGAAUUUUCGAGCAACUGCUCCAUAUGAUGGCCCUAUCUACUGAUGACAAAAUAAAACUAAAAGCGAUCAAAUUUAUCAAUUUGAUCACGUGAUGUGCUGUAGUAUAAACACAAAUAAUGUGUAAUAACUUUUGUUCUACAUACAUGUACACAUGUACACAAAUGCCGCCAUAUUGCUAACGAUGUGUGAUACAUGAUUUCUAGUAGAUGUCAUCCUCCUGGGAAUAAGCUUACACUACACUAUUUGCUUCCGACAUUGAGCAGCGGUAUGCUGUUCUUAUGCUUUACGCAAAACCGUUUUAACUCCUUGCGCACUUUUAGAUCUUUUGGUAAUUGAUAUAAGUGAUGAUCCAAGUCGGAUCUCUUACUACACCAGUAUUUGUACGCUUUGUACUUCAUUUUGGAUAUUCACUUGAAAAUAUUUUAUAUUAUAACAGGUGACAUCAUAAAAAACAUAAAUCAAAACAACGAAACAUGUUGUGCAGCAACACUGCCAGCAAGCCUGAUGAUAAAUUUUAACGCAUUCGAGGUUUUCAAUUUCAACCAAUCAGCGAGUGGUUCCCAAAGUGGAUGCAAAUCUAUACCCAGUUGUCUCCCCUUAGUGAAGGAUGCGUUUACCUACCAGUGAUAUUAAAAUACUAUAGUCACUUCAUUACUGUAGUCUGUAGGAGUGGAUAUCGGAAACCAACUUUAAAUGACACAAGCGAACAUAGUCGAGUAUGCUCGCAGUUUAAGCAUUGUGAUAAUGUAAUAAUGAUAUAAACAUAGAA